rnacentral:lncRNA from 1 species
AAGAAGAAGCAGCGGCGUGGGGACCUGGGAGGCAGGAGCAAGCAAGAAGAGGAAGCGGAAGCGUGCAGAUGCGGGGGGGAAGGAGAGAGGCUCCCUGGGCAAAGCACCUGUCCCGUUAGCAGGGGCACAGUCACGUUUGAGUUGAGAGCUGCCGGCGCCUUUGGUGACCAGGCUGGCGUUGUGCUGGCGACCUCCCCGUAAGCGGGGCUCGGGUCUUUGCUGUAGUUGGCCUUUUGCCUUGCUGCUCCUUUGGCUGCCUGGGGAGCGUGGCCCCCUGUAACGGAGGGCGAGAGCCACCUCUCCGCACCUGAGUGGGAAAUGGAGCUCGCCGGACCCCAAGGCCACCCUGUAAGCAGGGUAGUGCCGUUUCCCUGCCCCUCUUCCUCCCCCGGCCCCUCGGCAUCGUUGCCUGAUGGUGGCUUGUCAAUGCGACGGCCCCGUACUCGGGGUGUGCGUCACGGCAUUUGGCCGUUGGCUUUACCUGAGAAGCCCCUUGGCACGUUGAGGUCUGUGGCCUCCGUGCAGCCUAGGGACAGGUCACAGGCUCUUGUCUGUUGCCCGUGGUUGUGGGUUUAUUCCCAGGUGUUGGCUGUGCUGCGUUGUCCUUCCCUUCUGGAAAGUCGUGCCUGUGUGUGCGUGUUCCCCUUCCUUUCCUUGAUUGUGUUUGUGGAGUGGUUGAGCGGCUGUGCUUUCCCUUUAGGCCUCCACAAAGAUGGCUGCAGCUUAGCUUUGACUUCCCAGGGGGGAAUGGAGGACUUUGGUGCAUGCCGCAAAAGGGGUGUUCCCUCUUAGUCCUGCGAGCGCAGCGAGUGUCCUGUCUUCCUACUAUUUUCCUUAGUGCAGAUCAGAGCCACACGGUAGUUCUGUGGCCAAGGCCUCCCUGUAGCCAGGGCUUGGGCCUGUCCUUGCGUGGCCGCCUGUCCUGCUGGCGGCGGUGACAGCCCCGUACUCGGGGUGUGUGUCCCAAGCUUCGGAGCCCUCUGUCCCUGAGCAGCCCGCCCGCCCUGUAAUCAGGUGUGGGGAGGCUGCAGCGUUGCAGCCGGCUGCUUUAGCCAUCCAGCUGGUGGGAGUGACCCCUCCCUGUCCCGUCAGAGGGUGCAGGUUGAGGUGCUGUUUGUGUGUGGGGUGACCUCCCCGCUCGGUGGGUCGAGGUAGCUCCCUGGGCUUCCAAAGACGAGACGUUGGUGAUGUUCUGGUGCUGCCGGGCGGGCCAGCCUGUAACUCAGGCGUUGGCGGGAGCCUCGUGCUCCGCGGGGCUUCUUGAAGAGGGUGAGGUGUGGGGGUACCGUCCUGUAGGCAGGGCUGUGUGUGCCCCCCGUGUGUGCUUGGUGAGCUGCGUUCUGAGAGACCCCCUGUACUCAGGUGGGAAUGUGGCCCCGGCCUUUCAGAGGCGCGGGGCCGUGAGAUGCGGGGUGGGGCUUGCGCCCUCCCUGGAAUCGGGGCUGGGAUCCCGACUGCGGCCUUUGGCCGUGCCGCCCCGCUGCCUGGCUGCUGAGAGUUGCUCCUGCCGCUGGGGGGGAAACCGAGCUCUGUGGCUCCAGGGGUGUUGUCCACCCGCCUGUAAUCAGGGUCUGGGUGCGUGAGCGUUUGUGCUCUGCUGGCAGCCUGUGUGGGGUGACCGCCCCGCUAGCGGGGUGUGGGUCGAGGUGCCCCGGACUGGGAGAGAAGGAGCCUCCCUCGGCCGUAGGGAUGGGGGCUGCCCUGUAAGUCAGGGAGCAUCUGUGUCCCGGAGUCCCAGGCCCUUUUCGAUGGCGGCAGUGGCCGGGGGUCCCCUGUAAGCAGGGAAGCUGACUCUUUGGCUGCUGCUUUUUGUGUGCCCAGCCCCAUUUGCCCAGUCUGCCCGCCUCUGUGAUCCCCCGCAGCACUGGC